GGGAAGGCUAGGCAAAUAGCAAAGAAGAAAAUUGAUAUUCUGACAAACAUGUCACUUAAUGGAACACAACUCAACUUCAUUCAUAUGCGUGUAGACAUAAGCAUGUUGCUUAAAUAGUAACAUCAAAUGUCUGUGUUUAUUUACAUUAUCAUAUUUGGCCUUUUAUACCUCAAAGAAUGCAACAUUUCAAUACUAGCCCCUUUUGGUCUAUUCUUCCAUCUUC
rnacentral:misc_RNA from 1 species